rnacentral:rRNA from 1 species
GACGAACGCUGGCGGCGUGCUUAACACAUGCAAGUCGAACGGAAAGGCCCUGCGUUUGUGGGGUGCUCGAGUGGCGAACGGGUGAGUAACACGUGAGUAACCUGCCCUUGACUUUGGGAUAACUUCAGGAAACUGGGGCUAAUACCGUAUAGGAGCUCCUGCUGCAUGGUGGGGGUUGGAAAGUUUCGGCGGUUGGGGAUGGACUCGCGGCUUAUCAGCUUGUUGGUGGGGUAGUGGCUUACCAAGGCUUUGACGGGUAGCCGGCCUGAGAGGGUGACCGGCCACAUUGGGGCUGAGAUACGGCCCAGACUACUAUGGGAGGCAGCAGUGGGGAAUAUUGCACAAUGGGAGGAAGUCGGAUGCAGAAACGCCGCGUGCGGGAUGACGGCCUGCGGGUUGUAAACAGCUUUAGCCUGUGACGAAGCGUGAGUGACGGUAAUGGGUAAAGAAGCACCGGCUAACUACGUG